AAGUCGUAACAAGGUUUCCGUAGGUGAACCUGCGGAAGGAUCAUUAUCAACGUUAUCCACGUUAACCAACUGUGAACUUGUUUGCUCCCUUCGGGUUUGAGCAACCCUGCUUUUGGAAAGCAUUGUCUUUCCAUUUGCAGGUGGUUUUUAACUAAACCAAAUAUCAUUAACCAAUUGAACCCUUUGCUAAUACACUUAUGUGCUUAUUUAUGUGUUUCUUUACCCGUCAAGGGAAAGAAAUCAAUAAUAUACGAAACAUAAGAACAACUCUUAGCAACGGAUAUCUUGGUUCUG
rnacentral:misc_RNA from 1 species